CAGUAGCCGCGGGAACACGAAGGGUGCAAGCGUUACUCGGAAUUACUGGGCGUAAAGCGUGCGUAGGUGGUGGUUUAAGUCCGUUGUGAAAGCCCUGGGCUCAACCUGGGAAUUGCAGUGGAUACUGGGUCACUAGAGUGUGGUAGAGGAUAGUGGAAUUUCCGGUGUAGCAGUGAAAUGCGUAGAGAUCGGAAGGAACAUCUGUGGCGAAGGCGACUAUCUGGGCCAACACUGACACUGAGGCACGAAAGCGUGGGGAGCAAACAGGAUUAGAUACCCCUGUAGUCCCUGUCUCUUAUAA
rnacentral:rRNA from 1 species